rnacentral:rRNA from 1 species
UAAGGUUAAGUUAAUAAGGGCGCACGGUGGAUGCCUUGGCACUAGGAGCCGAAGAAGGACGUGACAAACGACGAUAUGCCUUGGGUAGCUGUAAGUAAGCGAUGAUCCAGGGAUUUCCGAAUGGGGGAACCCAACAGGUACUACCUGUUACCCGCAUCUGUUAAGGAUGUGAGGAGGAAGACGCAGUGAACUGAAACAUCUAAGUAGCUGCAGGAAGAGAAAGCAAAAGCGAUUGCCUUAGUAGCGGCGAGCGAAACGGCAGGAGGGCAAACCGAAGAGUUUACUCUUCGGGGUUGUAGGACUGCAAUGUGGACUCAAAGAUUAUAGAAGAAUGAUUUGGGAAGAUCAGCCAAAGAGAGUAAUAGCCUCGUAUUUAAAAUAGUCUUUGUACCUAGCAGUAUCCUGAGUACGGCGGGACACGCGAAAUCCCGUCGGAAUCUGGGAGGACCAUCUCCCAACCCUAAAUACUCCCUAGUGACCGAUAGUGAACCAGUACCGUGAGGGAAAGGUGAAAAGCACCCCGGGAGGGGAGUGAAAUAGAACCUGAAACCGUGUGCCUACAACAAGUUCGAGCCCGUUAAUGGGUGAGAGCGUGCCUUUUGUAGAAUGAACCGGCGAGUUACGUUAUGAUGCGAGGUUAAGUUGAAGAGACGGAGCCGUAGGGAAACCGAGUCUGAACAGGGCGAAUUAGUAUCAUGACGUAGACCCGAAACCAUGUGACCUACCCAUGAGCAGGUUGAAGGUGCGGUAAGACGCACUGGAGGACCGAACCAGGGCACGUUGAAAAGUGCUUGGAUGACUUGUGGGUAGCGGAGAAAUUCCAAACGAACUUGGAGAUAGCUGGUUCUCUCCGAAAUAGCUUUAGGGCUAGCGUCGACAUUAAGAUUCUUGGAGGUAGAGCACUGUUUGGGUGAGGGGUCCAUCCCGGAUUACCAAUCUCAGAUAAACUCCGAAUGCCAAUGAAUUAUGGUCGGCAGUCAGACUGCGAGUGCUAAGAUCCGUAGUCGAAAGGGAAACAGCCCAGACCACCAGCUAAGGUCCCAAAAUAAUUGUUAAGUGGAAAAGGAUGUGGGGUUGCACAGACAACUAGGAUGUUAGCUUAGAAGCAGCUAUUCAUUCAAAGAGUGCGUAAUAGCUCACUAGUCGAGUGACCCUGCGCCGAAAAUGUACCGGGGCUAAAACAAUUUACCGAAGCUGUGGAUACCUUUAUAGGUAUGGUAGGAGAGCGUUCUAUGUGUGAAGAAGGUGUACCGUGAGGAGUGCUGGAACGCAUAGAAGUGAGAAUGCCGGUAUGAGUAGCGAAAGACAGGUGAGAAUCCUGUCCACCGUAAGACUAAGGUUUCCAGGGGAAGGCUCGUCCGCCCUGGGUUAGUCGGGACCUAAGGAGAGACCGAAAGGUGUAUCCGAUGGACAACAGGUUGAUAUUCCUGUACUAGAGUAUGUAGUGAUGGAGGGACGCAGUAGGCUAACUAAAGCAGACGAUUGGAAGAGUCUGUCUAAGCAGUGAGGUGUGAUAUGAGUCAAAUGCUUAUAUCUAUAACAUUGAGCUGUGAUGGGGAGCGAAGUUUAGUAGCGAAGUUAGUGACGUCACACUGCCAAGAAAAGCUUCUAGCGUUUAAACAUACUCUACCCGUACCGCAAACCGACACAGGUAGUCGAGGCGAGUAGCCUCAGGUGAGCGAGAGAACUCUCGUUAAGGAACUCGGCAAAAUGACCCCGUAACUUCGGGAGAAGGGGUGCUGAUUUAGGUCAGCCGCAGUGAAUAGGCCCAAGCAACUGUUUAUCAAAAACACAGCUCUCUGCUAAAUCGUAAGAUGAUGUAUAGGGGGUGACGCCUGCCCGGUGCUGGAAGGUUAAGAGGAGUGCUUAGCGUAAGCGAAGGUAUGAAUUGAAGCCCCAGUAAACGGCGGCCGUAACUAUAACGGUCCUAAGGUAGCGAAAUUCCUUGUCGGGUAAGUUCCGACCCGCACGAAAGGCGUAAUGAUUUGGGCACUGUCUCAACGAGAGACUCGGUGAAAUUUUAGUACCUGUGAAGAUGCAGGUUACCCGCGACAGGACGGAAAGACCCCAUGGAGCUUUACUGCAGUUUGAUAUUGAGUGUCUGUACCACAUGUACAGGAUAGGUAGGAGUCUAUGAGAUCGGGACGCCAGUUUCGAAGGAGACGAUGUUGGGAUACUACCCUUGUGUUAUGGCCACUCUAACCCAGAUAGGUGAUCCCUAUCGGAGACAGUGUCUGACGGGCAGUUUGACUGGGGCGGUCGCCUCCUAAAAGG